rnacentral:rRNA from 1 species
UACGUAGGGUGCAAGCGUUAAUCGGAAUUACUGGGCGUAAAGCGUGCGCAGGCGGUUAUAUAAGACAGAUGUGAAAUCCCCGGGCUUAACUUUGGAACUGCAUUUGUGACUGUAUAGCUAGAGUACGGCAGAGGGGGGUGGAAUUCCGCGUGUAGCAGUGAAAUGCGUAAAUAUGCGGAGGAACACCGAUGGCGAAGGCAAUCCCCUGGGCCUGUACUGACGUUCAUGCACGAAAGCGUGGGGAGCAAACAGGAUUAGAUACCCUGGUAGUCCACGCCCUAAACGAUGUCAACUGGUUGUUGGGUCUUCACUGACUCAGUAACGAAGCUAACGCGUGAAGUUGACCGCCUGGGGAGUACGGCCGCAAGGUUG